AGAGAGCUUUUGCACAGCCCUAAUAUGUGUGCGGCACUGUGUGUGAAUACGCAGGCAAAGUGGUGAAAGGAGAUUAUAUGUAGUUUAAAACACAGAAUCCCCAUUUCAUAAAAGCGCAAGGUGGGUUCAUGUCACUUUCUUUCUCAAGUAUAUCUUAUUUAAUUUGAAUGGGUCUGCCUCCUCCCCCCAAACAAACAAACAAACAAACAAACAAAAAACCCAACCCAGUAAUAUAUUCAAUAAUAGCAUACUAGGAUUCACAGUAAAUUUGGGACCCACCCCAUUUAAAGAUGUCCACUCACCAUUGUCAUUUAAAGUUACAUUAUUUAAUCAGUGGGACAGUGAUGUUUGUUUGGUCAGGACAUGCAUGACCAGAGCUAGCUUGUAUGGGUCUGUAUGCCAUAGACCAUGGCUGGAACCUGAGUGAUCUUGCCUCGGUGCCGCUCUCUGAAGAGCCUGGCCAAAAUAACCUAAAGAAACAGAAAUCUCCAUAAAGAGAAUUCUCCAAAAUACUGUUCUGUUUUUCACAUUUAUUAUUUUGGAAUUUUAACUUUUUUUUUUCUUUGACGACAUGCAUUCUGGCUCACAUUACAUAUGAACGAUAAAGGAGAAAUUCAGCUAUUAUAUGAUAAUAGUUUUGCACAUAGUGUGUUUCUCAUAGAAAAUGAAUUAGGCUGUUGAUUUCAUGGGACAGACUAAAAGGUGAACAUUUUCACAGGAGGAAAAACACAAGCCACUUCUUAUUUCAAAGCUGGGUGUCCUCUGUUGCACUGGUGCCUGGCGGCCGUGUCACCACCUGUUUUCCUUGGCAUCUGCUUGGAACAGAGCAGUGAGGUCCCUGGAAGUCAGAGCACUCACUGGGGUUCGUGCCAGAGCAGAGUGCCAUGCAUAUCUCAAGACGCCCCCUCGGCCCAGGAUCUGACUUUAUUCUGGAACUUUGGUACAAGGGCUCCUGGCAGCUUCCAGAAAACCGGCACUUAAGAUCAGCCUCUGCUCUGUGCUGGAUCUCUGCCACCCUCCCUCUGUUUCUGUAAUUACCUCUACAUUUAACCUGCAGCCAUCAAUGGCAACGCCUGCGAGUACAGGGUAAUAUUUCCCCUCCUUUAUUGGAUCAGUCCAUCUGCCAGCCUACCCCGCAUUUUUAACAAGUGCAGCCCUGGAGUCGAAAACUUUUUUUUUAACUGACCCUAGCUUCUAUGUGAAGCCUCUGGCUUUCUCUAUUCUACAGUUUGCUGAGGUAUUUUUCUGCUUUCCUGCAGUUUUUAAGGAGAUAAUAAGUUCCAAAAUUCACCAGCCUUUCGCUGAAAGAAGCUUCUCACGGUGGUUGGUAGCUAAUGAAGGCCCCUUUAGUUUAUCUUCGUCAAUUGUCAAAUAUUUGAGUCCGUGAAGUGGUGUGAUGCGGUACAAAGACAGGUAUUUGAAGGGAUCUUAACUCAUUUGAGCAAUUACAUGCUUAACUGCCCU
rnacentral:lncRNA from 1 species